UACGGGGGGGGGUAAGCGUUGUUCGGAAUUACUGGGCGUAAAGGGCUCGUAGGCGGCCAACUAAGUCAGACGUGAAAUCCCUCAGCUUAACUGGGGAACUGCGUCUGAUACUGGAUGGCUUGGAUUCGGGAGAGGAAUGCGGAAUUCCAGGUGUAGCGGUGAAAUGCGUAGAUAUCUGGAGGAACACCGGUGGCGAAGGCGGCAUUCUGGACCGGAUAUUGACGCUGAGGAGCGAAAGCCAGGGGAGCAAAGCGGG
rnacentral:rRNA from 1 species